rnacentral:lncRNA from 1 species
UGUUAUAUACAUACCAUUAACAUUUUGGUGUAUAUCUAGAAACAACAUACACAAGAAAAAUGCUUGAAUCAAAUUGCUGUUCAUACUCGCCGUCUUCUUUCUUCCAGUACUUUACUAGUAUAUAACUUAAAAUUGUUCGUACAAAGCUGAUAUCUGUAGAUAAUGCGUAUAUGCAAUAUGGUUAUAAUCCAGUUCAAUAUGUAUUCAGCGACAAUUAUCUUAAGUUAUGCUGACUUGAAUGUUG